rnacentral:rRNA from 1 species
CGUAGGGGUGACCUGCGGAGGGAUCAUUACACAAAUAUGAAGGCGGGCUGGAACCUCUCGGGGUUACAGCCUUGCUGAAUUAUUCACCCUUGUCUUUUGCGUACUUCUUGUUUCCUUGGUGGGUUCGCCCACCACUAGGACAAACAUAAACCUUUUGUAAUUGCAAUCAGCGUCAGUAACAAAUUAAUAAUUACAACUUUCAACAACGGAUCUCUUGGUUCUGGCAUCGAUGAAGAACGCAGCGAAAUGCGAUAAGUAGUGUGAAUUGCAGAAUUCAGUGAAUCAUCGAAUCUUUGAACGCACAUUGCGCCCUUUGGUAUUCCAAAGGGCAUGCCUGUUCGAGCGUCAUUUGUACCCUCAAGCUUUGCUUGGUGUUGGGCGUCUUGUCUCUAGCUUUGCUGGAGACUCGCCUUAAAGUAAUUGGCAGCCGGCCUACUGGUUUCGGAGCGCAGCACAAGUCGCACUCUCUAUCAGCAAAGGUCUAGCAUCCAUUAAGCCUUUUUUUCAACUUUUGACCUCGGAUCAGGUAGGGAUACCCGCUGAACUUAAGCAUAUCAUAAGNCCGGAG